GACGAACGCUGGCGGCGUGCCUAAUACAUGCAAGUCGAACGCACUCUCGUUUAGAUUGAAGGAGCUUGCUCCUGAUUGAUAAACAUUUGAGUGAGUGGCGGACGGGUGAGUAACACGUGGGUAACCUGCCCUAAAGUGGGGGAUAACAUUUGGAAACAGAUACUAAUACCGCAUAAAACCUAACACCGCAUGGUGUAGGGUUGAAAGAUGGUUUCGGCUAUCACUUUAGGAUGGACCCGCGGUGCAUUAGUUAGUUGGUGAGGUAAAGGCUCACCAAGACCGUGAUGCAUAGCCGACCUGAGAGGGUAAUCGGCCACACUGGGACUGAGACACGGCCCAGACUCCUACGGGAGGCAGCAGUAGGGAAUCUUCCACAAAUGGACGAAAGUCUGAUGGAGCAACGCCGCGUGAGUGAAGAAGGUUUUCGGAUCGUAAAACUCUAGUU
rnacentral:rRNA from 1 species